AAAAACAGGGUCUCCAGGACCUCCAGGACCUGCAGGACUACCAACCCUGUACCUGUGGAGGAACACAGCAGAGGAAUGGGCGGCCUUCCAGCAAACCAACUUCUACCAGUUGCUGCGUGCUGGUUGGCCUAGUAAAGAAGGCCCUGCAGGACCACCUGGAGAGAUGGGCAAACUGGGAUUACAGG